rnacentral:lncRNA from 1 species
GCAUGUUUCUAUUCCUUUUUCAUGCCCUUCUGUUUAUUUCUUACUACUAGUUCUGGAGUUUGAUUUGUGGAUCAAGUUAAUUCACACUGAGUCAAUAGAGAUACGCAUUUUGAAAACUUACCUUUGAGCAGCUAUUUUACCAUGUUAUUUUUCCUGUACCAACUGACAUCCUCUAAAGCCUGAACAAUCCAUCAGCAACCCAUGAGCCAGCAGAACAAAAGAUGACAGAACUGGGGCUGGCAGAGCAAGAGGAAGGAGCCUGCAUGUCUAAAGAGAGAAGUGAAGUUUAAGUACUGGAAAAAAGGAAAGUCUUCAGCCUUGGGAAUGUAAUAACUUGGGGUCAGCUGAGAACCCUGAGGAAGACUGACCCAAUCAGCUG